rnacentral:rRNA from 1 species
GACGAACGCUGGCGGCGUGCUUAACACAUGCAAGUCGAACGGGCCCGCCCCUGUUUUUGGGGGUGGGUUGAGUGGCGAACGGGUGAGUAUCACGUGAGUAACCUGCCCCCUGCUCCUGGAUAACUGCUUGAAAGGGCGGCUAAUACGGGGUGUGCCGGCUGGUCCGCAUGGGCCUGGUCGGGAUAGUUUCAUCUUCGGGUGUUUCGGUGGGGGAUGGGCUCGCGGCCUAUCAGCUUGUUGGUGGGGUGAUGGCCCACCAAGGCGGUGACGGGUAGCCGGCCUGAGAGGGUGGGCGGCCACACUGGGACUGAGACACGGCCCAGACUCCUGCGGGAGGCAGCAGUGGGGGGUAUUGCACGAUGGGCGGAAGCCUGAUGCAGCGACGUCGCGUGAGGGAUGGAGGCCUUCGGGUUGUGAACCUCUUUCUCCGGUGGUGAAGGCCCUGUCCGUUGCGGCGGGGUUGACGGUAGCCGGGUAUGAAGCGCCGGCUAACUACGUG